rnacentral:rRNA from 1 species
AAAUCUGGUUGAUCCUGCCAGAGGCGACCGCUAUUGGAGUUCGAUUAAGCCAUGCGAGUCGAGAGCUUUCGGAGCUCGGCAUACUGCUCAGUAACACGUGGAUAACCUGCCCUGUGCUCCGGGAUAACCUCGGGAAACUGAGAAUAAUACCGGAUAGUCCACCACGCCUGGAACGGUGGGUGGAUCAAAGGUCACGGCACAGGAUGGGUCUGCGGCGUAUCAGGUUGUAGGGGGUGUAAAGGACCCCCUAGCCAUUGACGCGUACGGGUUGUGGGAGCAAUCGCCCGGAGAUGGAUUCUGAGACACGAAUCCAGACCCUACGGGGUGCAGCAGGCGCGAAAACUUCACACUGCAGGAAACUGUGAUGAGGGAA